GACCGGCUGGUCUAAUGGCAUGACGCUCCAUUCAUCAGAAGCUCUUCCGGAGCAGUGUGGGUUCAAAUCCCGCGCCGGUCG